rnacentral:misc_RNA from 1 species
UCUCCGUAGGUGAACCUGCGGAAGGAUCAUUAUUGUAUGACCGAGGUGCAAGGGCUGUCGCUGACCCGAAAUGUCCUGCACGCCCGAGUGCCCUCACACACAUCCACCUCACCCCUCUGUGCACCACAGCGUGCGUCCCCCUUUGGCCUGUUCGGAGGGGGGCUUACGUUUUCACACAAACUUUGUAUGCAGUGUAGAAUGUAUUUUUUGUUUUUGCGAUCACGCAAUCAAUACAACUUUCAACAACGGAUCUCUUGGCUCUC